UACGUAGGGGGCAAGCGUUGUCCGGAUUUAUUGGGCGUAAAGAGCGUGUAGGCGGCCUGACAGGUCUGCUGUGAAAACUCGAGGCUCAACCUCGAGAUGUCGGCGGAAACCGUCUGGCUAGAGUCCGGAAGAGGAGAGUGGAAUUCCUGGUGUAGCGGUGAAAUGCGCAGAUAUCGAAGGAAGACACCUAUGGCGAAGGCAGCUCUG
rnacentral:rRNA from 1 species